rnacentral:rRNA from 1 species
UAACGACUCUCGGCAACGGAUAUCUCGGCUCUGGCAUCGAUGAAGAACGUAGCGAAAUGCGAUACUUGGUGUGAAUUGCAGAAUCCCGUGAACCAUCGAGUCUUUGAACGCAAGUUGCGCCCGAAGCCUUCCGGCCGAGGGCACGUCUGCCUGGGCGUCACG